AUACUUACCUUGCAGGGGAGAUACCAUGAUCACAAAGAUAGUUUUCCCAUUAGUUAUCCAUUGCACUGCAGGUAUAGAGGGUCUGCCUUUGCUCUCUCCCCUGUAUAAAAC
rnacentral:snRNA from 1 species